rnacentral:rRNA from 1 species
UACGUAGGGUGCAAGCGUUAAUCGGAAUUACUGGGCGUAAAGCGUGCGCAGGCGGUUUUGUAAGUCUGUCGUCGAAAUCCCCGGGCUCAACCUGGGAAUUGCGAUGGAGACUGCAAGGCUAGAAUCUGGCAGAGGGGGGUAGAAUUCCACGUGUAGCAGUGAAAUGCGUAGAGAUGUGGAGGAACACCGAUGGCGAAGGCAGCCCCCUGGGUCAAGAUUGACGCUCAUGCACGAAAGCGUGGGGAGCAAACAGG